UUUCCGUAGGUGAACCUGCGGAAGGAUCAUUAAUGUGUUUGGGCCUCACCGCUCUUCAUUCCGACGCUGUGCGCCUUCGGGCUGCACGCUGAGGGAGCAUAUAUCCACCCCUGUGCACACACACGGUGGCGAGCUGGGUAACGGCUCGCCGCUGAUCUUUACACACGUCUAAAAGUCAUUGUAUGUAUAUUUGAGAUAAAAACACAACUUUCAGCAACGGAUCUCUUGGCUCUC
rnacentral:misc_RNA from 1 species